UCAUCUUCGUCAUCGUCAUCUUCAUUAUUGUCGUCAUUGUCGUCGUCGUCGUCAUUGUCGUUGUUGUUGGUGGUGGUGAUGGUGUUGUUGUUCUUGUUCUUCUUGUUGUUGUUAUUGUUGUUGUUGUUGUUGUUGUUGUUGUUGUUAUUGUUGUUGUUGUUGUUGUUGUUGUUGUUGUUGUUGUUGUUGUUGUUGUUGUUGUUG
rnacentral:lncRNA from 1 species